ACCCACUGCAUCACAAGCUGACUCUCUGU
rnacentral:piRNA from 1 species